rnacentral:tRNA from 1 species
GGGUCGAUACCGAAGCGGUCAAACGGGGCUGACUGUAAAUCAGCUGGCUUAUGCCUUCGCAGGUUCGAAUCCUGCUCGGCCCACCA